rnacentral:rRNA from 1 species
GACGGAAGGUGCAAGCGUUGCUCGGAAUCACUGGGCGUAAAGGGUGCGUAGGCGGCCGCGCAAGUCUGGCGUGAAAGCCCCGGGCUCAACCUGGGAACCGCGCUUGAGACUGGCAUGCUCGAGUUCGGGAGAGGAUGGUGGAAUUCCCAGUGUAGAGGUGAAAUUCGUAGAUAUUGGGAAGAACACCGAUGGCGAAGGCAGCCAUCUGGACCGACACUGACGCUGAGGCGCGAAAGCGUGGGGAGCAAACAGG